UACGGAGGGGGCUAGCGUUGUUCGGAAUUACUGGGCGUAAAGCGCACGUAGGCGGUGGCGCAUGUCAGAUGUGAAAGCCCUGGGCUUAACCUAGGAAUUGCAUUUGAAACUGCGUCGCUAGAGGCCGGAAGAGGGUAGUGGAAUUCCCAGUGUAGAGGUGAAAUUCGUAGAUAUUGGGAAGAACACCGGUGGCGAAGGCGGCUACCUGGUCCGGUUCUGACGCUGAGGUGCGAAAGCGUGGGGAGCAAACAGG
rnacentral:rRNA from 1 species